AGCAGUCGCCGCGGUAAUACGAAGGGUGCAAGCGUUACUCGGAAUUACUGGGCGUAAAGCGUGCGUAGGUGGUGGUUUAAGUCCGUUGUGAAAGCCCUGGGCUCAACCUGGGAAUUGCAGUGGAUACUGGAUCACUAGAGUGUGGUAGAGGAUAGUGGAAUUUCCGGUGUAGCAGUGAAAUGCGUAGAGAUCGGAAGGAACAUCUGUGGCGAAGGCGACUAUCUGGGCCAACACUGACACUGAGGCACGAAAGCGUGGGGAGCAAACAGGAUUAGAUACCCCAGUAGUCCCUGUCUCUUAUAC
rnacentral:rRNA from 1 species